UCUUAAUCCAACAUCGAGGUCGCAAUCUUUAUUAUCAAUAUGAACUCUCCAAUAACAUUACGCUGUUAUCCCCUAAGGUAUCUUUAUCUCAUUCCAUAAUACAGGACAAUUAACCCAAUCAUCAUAGUUAAACAUAAAGAAGUUAAAUUAUUCUCUUGUCACCCCAACCAAAUACAAUAUAUUAACAUCUAUAAAAAACCACCAAACAUAAAUUUCAAUAUAAUAAUAUUAAGAUCUAUAGGGUCUUCUCGUCCCCUAUUUUCAUUUGAGCCUUUUAACUCAAAAGUAAAAUUCAAUACAUCACUCCGAGACAGUUAUUAUUUCGUCAAACCAUUCAUUCCAGCCUCCAAUUAAAAGACUAAUGAUUAUGCUACCUUUGCACGGU
rnacentral:rRNA from 1 species